rfam:Vibrio shilonii AK1 1103207002033, whole genome shotgun sequence.
GGAGUUUGAAGUAAUAACUUUGAACGGUCGGUGAUAUCUCCACCUAUGUGAUAGGGAAGACCACAAUUUGCAAAUGAAACGAAAGGUCCGCGCUCAAACAUAAUAAUUUCGGCUUCUUCACUCAAACGUCGAGCUCUUGCUGCUGCAGAUGCGCCACCUGCAACUCCGC